rnacentral:rRNA from 1 species
CCUACGGGUGGCAGCAGUGAGGAAUAUUGGUCAAUGGGCGGAAGACUGAACCAGCCAAGUAGCGUGCAGGAUGACGGCCCUACGGGUUGUAAACUGCUUUUAUACGGGAAUAACGUGCCUUACGUGUAGUGCUUUGUAGGUACCGCAUGAAUAAGGACCGGCUAAUUCCGUGCCAGCAGCCGCGGUAAUACGGAAGGUCCGGGCGUUAUCCGGAUUUAUUGGGUGUAAAGGGAGCGUAGGCGGUAUGGCAAGCGUGCUGUGAAAUGUCCGGGCUCAACCCGCGCACUGCUGCGGAAACUGGCGUGCUUGAGUGCACGAGAGGCAAGCGGAAUUCGUCGUGUAGCGGUGAAAUGCUUAGAUAUUAGGAGGAACCCCAGUUGCGAAGGCAGCUUGCUGCACCGUAACUGACGCUGAGGCUCGAAAGCGCGGGUAUCGAACAGGAUUAGAUACCCGGGUAGUC